rnacentral:tRNA from 1 species
GCGGGCGUAACUCAGUGGUAGAGUUUCUGCCUUCCAAGCAGAAUGUCGAGGGUUCGAAUCCCUUCGCCCGCU